rnacentral:rRNA from 1 species
GAUGAACGCUAGCUACAGGCUUAACACAUGCAAGUCGAGGGGCAGCAUGGUCUUAGCUUGCUAAGGCCGAUGGCGACCGGCGCACGGGUGAGUAACGCGUAUCCAACCUGCCUUACACUCUUGGACAGCCUUCUGAAAGGGAGAUUAAUACAAGAUGUUAUCAUGAGUAAGCAUUUUCGCAUGAUUAAAGGUUUACCGGUGUAAGAUGGGGAUGCGUUCCAUUAGAUAGUAGGCGGGGUAACGGCCCACCUAGUCUUCGAUGGAUAGGGGUUCUGAGAGGAAGGUCCCCCACAUCGGAACUGAGACACGGUCCAAACUCCUACGGGAGGCAGCAGUGAGGAAUAUUGGUCAAUGGACGAGAGUCUGAACCAGCCAAGUAGCGUGAAGGAUGAAGGUUCUAUGGAUUGUAAACUUCUUUUAUACGGGAAUAAACAAAUCCACGUGUGGAUUUUUGCAUGUACCGUAUGAAUAAGGAUCGGCUAACUCCGUGCCAGCAGCCGCGGUAAUACGGAGGAUCCGAGCGUUAUCCGGAUUUAUUGGGUUUAAAGGGAGCGUAGAUGGGUUGUUAAGUCAGUUGUGAAAGUUUGCGGCUCAACCGUAAAAUUGCAAUUGAUACUGGCAGUCUUGAGUACAGUUGAGGUAGGCGGAAUUCGUGGUGUAGCGGUGAAAUGCUUAGAUAUCACGAAGAACUCCGAUUGCGAAGGCAGCUUACUAACCUGUAACUGACAUUGAUGCUCGAAAGUGUGGGUAUCAAACAGGAUUAGAUACCCUGGUAGUCCACACGGUAAACGAUGAAUACUCGCUGUAGGCGAUAUACAGUCUGCGGCCAAGCGAAAGCAUUAAGUAUUCCACCUGGGAAGUACGCCGGCAACGGUGAAACUCAAAGGAAUUGACGGGGGCCCGCACAAGCGGAGGAACAUGUGGUUUAAUUCGAUGAUACGCGAGGAACCUUACCCGGGCUUAAAUUGCAACCGAAUAUGGCGGAAACGCUAUAGCUAGCAAUAGCGGUUGUGAAGGUGCUGCAUGGUUGUCGUCAGCUCGUGCCGUGAGGUGUCGGCUUAAGUGCCAUAACGAGCGCAACCCUUGCCGAUAGUUACUAACAGGUCAUGCUGAGGACUCUGUCGGGACUGCCAUCGUAAGAUGUGAGGAAGGUGGGAUGACGUCAAAUCAGCACGGCCCUUACGUCCGGGGCUACACACGUGUUACAAUGGGGGGUACAGAGGGCUGCUACCACGCAAGUGGAUGCCAAUCCCAAAAACCUCUCUCAGUUCGGAUUGAAGUCUGCAACCCGACUUCAUGAAGCUGGAUUCGCUAGUAAUCGCGCAUCAGCCACGGCGCGGUGAAUACGUUCCCGGGCCUUGUACACACCGCCCGUCAAGCCAUGGGAGCCGGGGGUACCUGAAGUGCGUAACCGCAAGGAGCGCCCUAGGGUAAAACUGGUGACUGGGGCUAAGU